GACGUAGGGCGCGAGCGUUGUCCGGAUUUAUUGGGCGUAAAGAGCUCGUAGGCGGUUUGUCGCGUCUGCUGUGAAAAACUCGGGGGCUUAACCCCGGGCCUGCAGUGGGUACGGGCAGACUAGAGUGCGGUAGGGGAGACUGGAAUUCCUGGUGUAGCGGUGAAAUGCGCAGAUAUCAGGAGGAACACCGGUGGCGAAGGCGGGUCUCUGGGCCGUAACUGACGUUGAGGAGCGAAAAGCAUGGGGGAGCGAACAGG
rnacentral:rRNA from 1 species